rnacentral:rRNA from 1 species
UAGGGAAUCUUCCACAAUGGACGCAAGUCUGAUGGAGCAACGCCGCGUGAGUGAAGAAGGUUUUCGGAUCGUAAAACUCUGUUGUAAGGGAAGAACAAGUACAGUAGUAACUGGCUGUACCUUGACGGUACCUUAUUAGAAAGCCACGGCUAACUACGUGCCAGCAGCCGCGGUAAUACGUAGGUGGCAAGCGUUGUCCGGAAUUAUUGGGCGUAAAGCGCGCGCAGGCGGUCCUUUAAGUCUGAUGUGAAAGCCCACGGCUCAACCGUGGAGGGUCAUUGGAAACUGGGGGACUUGAGUGCAGAAGAGGAAAGUGGAAUUCCAAGUGUAGCGGUGAAAUGCGUAGAGAUUUGGAGGAACACCAGUGGCGAAGGCGACUUUCUGGUCUGUAACUGACGCUGAGGCGCGAAAGCGUGGGGAGCAAACAGG